UCCGUUGUCUGGUACCUGUAACACAAGUCCUUUAGGUAUUUAGCACGGGGCCAAACUGCCGUGGUGUGGAGCGUCCAUAGAUAUUAUUAUUA